UGGGGUAUAGCUCAGUCGGCAGAGUACUCGUCUCGAAAGCAGAAGGCCCUGGGUUCAAUCCCCAGCACCAAAA
rnacentral:tRNA from 1 species